AGCAGUUUUCAAAAUAAAGCAACAUCUGUCACCCCAUUGAUCACCAGGGUUGAUUUGUCUAAUCUGGCCAGCUAGGUGGGUGUCCCCUUCCUCCCAGACCACUCCAUGUGUGUGCCUCCUGAAGCCGUGCACUUGGUCACUUGGUAGAACAGGAUGACCUUCCCUGACAGAGGAGGACCAUUUCUGUCAAGGGUAUGUGAGUAGUGGUGCUAGAACCUCCAGACAAAUUUUCUUCGCAUCUUCUAAUGAUGAGCAAUUUAACUCUAAAAAUCAUUAUGAAAUCAUGGAUUUAAAUAUUUAAUGUAUUUCAAUCCAUUGAUUAUU
rnacentral:snRNA from 1 species